GGCCUCGUAGCUCAGUUGGCUAGAGCAUUGGUUGUACUGAAGCCUUCCUCUUGCUGGCGUUGGUUUCAAUCCCGCCGAGGCCG
rnacentral:tRNA from 1 species